GGGGGUGGAGCUCAGUGGUAGAGCGCGUGCUUGGUGCGCACAAGGUCCUGGGUUCAGCCCCCAGGGCUUCCG
rnacentral:tRNA from 1 species